CCAAUUCAAAUAUAAAAAAUCUAUUUUUUUAAAACAUUUUAUUUAGAUAUACACAAAAUUAUUUUAUCAGAUCUGAUUAAAGAAAUUUAAUUAGUAAAAAUAUUCAAGAGUGAAUGAAGACUAGUUAAUAAAUAAAUAAUUCUUUUUAAUUACCAUAAGAAAAAAGCACAUCAUCUAAGAUUUACAAAUCAGAACAAAAUCUCAGUAAUUGAUGAAUGGUGUAUCAUAAUUAGGUUUUGACAUAUUUUGGGUUCAACUAGAUUUAGUUAGAUAAGUUUUUCUUCAAAUUUAAAUUCUACCAAGCAAUAUGGAGGUAUAGAACAUGUAUAACAUGAUGACCUCAAUUCUGUACAGCAGGAAGUAUAAAUAUUCAUCAACAUUUAAUAACAUCAUUAUCAGUUAAG